UAGGGAAUCUUCCGCAAUGGACGCAAGUCUGACGGAGCAACGCCGCGUGAGUGAAGAAGGAUUUCGGUUCGUAAAACUCUGUUGUUAGAGAAGAACAGCGCAUAGAGUAACUGUUAUGCGUGUGACGGUAUCUAACCAGAAAGCCACGGCUAACUACGUGCCAGCAGCCGCGGUAAUACGUAGGUGGCAAGCGUUGUCCGGAUUUAUUGGGCGUAAAGCGAGCGCAGGCGGUCAAUUAAGUCUGAUGUGAAAGCCCCCGGCUCAACCGGGGAGCGUCAUUGGAAACUGGUUGCCUUGAGUGCAGGAGAGGAGAGUGGAAUUCCAGGUGUGUCGGUGAAAUGCAUAGAUAUAUGAAGGAACACCAGUGGCGAAGGCGACUCUCUGGGAUGUAACUGACGCUGAGGCUCGAAAGCGUGGGUAGCAAACAGG
rnacentral:rRNA from 1 species